GACGAACGCUGGCGGCGUGCUUAACACAUGCAAGUCGAACGGAAAGGCCCUGCUUUUGUGGGGUGCUCGAGUGGCGAACGGGUGAGUAACACGUGAGUAACCUGCCCUUGACUUUGGGAUAACUUCAGGAAACUGGGGCUAAUACCGGAUAGGAGCUCCUGCUGCAUGGUGGGGGUUGGAAAGUUUCGGCGGUUGGGGAUGGACUCGCGGCUUAUCAGCUUGUUGGUGGGGUAGUGGCUUACCAAGGCUUUGACGGGUAGCCGGCCUGAGAGGGUGACCGGCCACAUUGGGACUGAGAUACGGCGCAGACUCCUACGGGAGGCAGCAGUGGGGAAUAUUGCACAAUGGGCGGAAGCCUGAUGCAGCAACGCCGCGGGCGGGAUGACGGCCUUCGGGGUGUAAACCGCUUUCGCCUGUGACGAAGCGUGAGUGACGGUAAUGGGUAAAGAAGCACCGGCUAACUACGUG
rnacentral:rRNA from 1 species